UACGGGAGGCAGCAGUAGGGAAUAUUGGGCAAUGGGCGAGAGCCUGACCCGGCCAUGCCGCGUGCAGGAAGAAGGCUUUCUGAGUCGUAAACUGCUUUUGACAGGGAAGAAUAAGCUGUACGUGUACAGUGAUGACGGUACCUGCAGAAUAAGCACCGGCUAACUCCGUGCCAGCAGCCGCGGUAAUACGGAGGGUGCGAGCGUUGUCCGGAUUUAUUGGGUUUAAAGGGUGCGUAGGCGGCCUUUUAAGUCCGGGGUGAAAGCCCGUUGCUCAACAACGGAACUGCCCUGGAUACUGGAAGGCUUGAGUACAGACGAGGUUGGCGGAAUGGACCGAGUAGCGGUGAAAUGCAUAGAUACGGUCCAGAACCCCGAUUGCGAAGGCAGCUGACUAGGCUGUUACUGACGCUGAGGCACGACAGCGUGGGGAGCGAACAGGAUUAGAUACCCUGGUAGUCCACGCCGUAAACGAUGGAUACUCGCUGCGAGCUAAAGAUUGUUCGUGGCUUAGGGAAACCGAUAAGUAUCCCACCUGGGGAGUACGCCGGCAACGGUGAAACUCAAAGGAAUUGACCGAAGGGC
rnacentral:rRNA from 1 species